AACGUAGGUGGCGAGCGUUAUCCGGAUUCAUUGGGCGUAAAGAGCUUGUAGGCGGUUGCGUAAGUUGGACGUGAAAACUCCGGGCUUAACUUGGAGAGGCCGUUCAAUACUGCGUGACUGGAGGAUGUCAGAGGGGAGUGGAAUUCCUGGUGUAGCAGUGAAAUGCGUAGAUAUCAGGAGGAACACCCGUGGCGAAGGCGGCUCCCUGGGACAUCCCUGACGCUGAGAAGCGAAAGCUAGGGGAGCAAACGGG
rnacentral:rRNA from 1 species